rnacentral:rRNA from 1 species
AGAGUUUGAUCCUGGCUCAGGAUGAACGCCGGCGGUGUGCCUAAUACAUGCAAGUCGAACGCGUUGGCCCAAUUGAUUGAUGGUGCUUGCACCUGAUUGAUUUUGGUCGCCAACGAGUGGCGGACGGGUGAGUAACACGUAGGUAACCUGCCCAGAAGCGGGGGACAACAUUUGGAAACAGAUGCUAAUACCGCAUAACAACGUUGUUCGCAUGAACAACGCUUAAAAGAUGGCUUCUCGCUAUCACUUCUGGAUGGACCUGCGGUGCAUUAGCUUGUUGGUGGGGUAACGGCCUACCAAGGCGAUGAUGCAUAGCCGAGUUGAGAGACUGAUCGGCCACAAUGGGACUGAGACACGGCCCAUACUCCUACGGGAGGCAGCAGUAGGGAAUCUUCCACAAUGGGCGCAAGCCUGAUGGAGCAACACCGCGUGAGUGAAGAAGGGUUUCGGCUCGUAAAGCUCUGUUGUUAAAGAAGAACACGUAUGAGAGUAACUGUUCAUACGUUGACGGUAUUUAACCAGAAAGUCACGGCUAACUACGUGCCAGCAGCCGCGGUAAUACGUAGGUGGCAAGCGUUAUCCGGAUUUAUUGGGCGUAAAGAGAGUGCAGGCGGUUUUCUAAGUCUGAUGUGAAAGCCUUCGGCUUAACCGGAGAAGUGCAUCGGAAACUGGAUAACUUGAGUGCAGAAGAGGGUAGUGGAACUCCAUGUGUAGCGGUGGAAUGCGUAGAUAUAUGGAAGAACACCAGUGGCGAAGGCGGCUGUCUGGUCUGCAACUGACGCUGAGGCUCGAAAGCAUGGGUAGCGAACAGGAUUAGAUACCCUGGUAGUCCAUGCCGUAAACGAUGAGUGCUAGGUGUUGGAGGGUUUCCGCCCUUCAGUGCCGCAGCUAACGCAUUAAGCACUCCGCCUGGGGAGUACGACCGCAAGGUUGAAACUCAAAGGAAUUGACGGGGGCCCGCAC